AUUGAACGCUGGCGGCAGGCCUAACACAUGCAAGUCGAGCGAGCGGCGGACGGGUGAGUAAUGUAUGGGGACUGCCCGAUAGAGGGGGAUAACUACUGGAACCGGUAGCUAAUACCGCAUACUAUCGGAUAACCCAUAUGGGAUUAGAUAGUAGGUGAGGUAAUGGCUCAACGAGGCGACGAGCCCUAGCUGGUCUGAGAGGAUGAUCAGCCACACUGGGACGCAGACACGGCCCAGACUCCUACGGCGGCAGCAGUGGGGAAUAUGGCACAAUGGGUGCAAGCCUUAUGCAGCCAUGCCGCGUGUAUGAAGAAGGCCCUAGGGUUGUAAAGUACUUGCAGUCGGGAGGCGUUACCGACAGAAGAAGCACCGGCUAACUCCGUGCCAGUAGCGGCGGUAAUAC
rnacentral:rRNA from 1 species